rnacentral:rRNA from 1 species
AUUGAACGCUGGCGGCAGGCCUAACACAUGCAAGUCGAGCGGAGCGGCGGACGGGUGCGUAAUGCCUAGGAAUCUGCCUUGUAGUGGUGGAUAACGUCCGGAAACGGGAGCUAAUACUGCAUACUUGCACUAUCGGCUAGGUCGGAUUAGCUAGUUGUUGGGGUAAAGGCCGACAAAGGCGACGAUCCGUAACUGGUCUGAGAGGAUGAUCAGUCACACUGGAACUGAGACACGGUCCAGACUCCUACGGGAGGCAGCAGUGGGGAAUAUUGGACAAUGGGCGAAAGCCUGAUCCAGCCAUGCCGCGUGUGUGAAGAAGGUCUUCGGAUUGUAAAGCACUUUAAGUUGGGAGGCGUUACCAACAGAAUAAGCACCGGCUAACUUCGUGCCAGCAGCCGCGGUAAUAC